UAGCAUAAUCAUUAGUUUUUUAAUUGAGAACUGGAAUGAAAGGUUAAAUAAGAAAUAAUCUUUAUUAAUUUUAAAAUUUUUGAAUUUGUUUUUUUAGUAAAAAAACUAAAAUAAUAAAAAAAGACGAUAAGACCCUAUAAAGCUUUAUAAUUUUUAAAUUUAAUAAUUUAUUAGAAUAUUAAAAUUGUUUUUUUUUUAUUAUUUGAUUGGGGUGAUUUAAAGAUUUAAAAAACUCUUUAAUUUUUUUUAUUCAUUUUUAAAUGUAUUUUGAUCCUUAUAAUUUAAGAUUAAAAAAAUAAGUUACUUUAGGGAUAACAGCGUAAUUUUUUUGAAGAGUUCAGAUCGAUAAAAAAGAUUGCGACCUCGAUGUUGAAUUAAGAUAAAAAUUAGGGGUAGAAUUUUAAUUUUU
rnacentral:rRNA from 1 species